UCGAGAAUAUUCGACAAUGGGCGAAAGCCUGAUCGAGCGACGCCGCGUGCAGGAUGAAGGCCCUCGGGUUGUAAACUGCGGUAGUAGGGGAGGAACGCAAGUGACUGUACCCUACGGAAAGUGGUUGGUAACUACGUGCCAGCACCAGCGGUAAUACGUAGACCACAAGCGUUAUCCGGAUUUAUUGGGCGUAAAGAGCAUGUAGGAGGUCCGGUGCGUCUCUGGUUAAAGCCCACCGCCUAACGGUGGAAGUGCCAGAGAUACGAUCGGACUGGAGGAUGUGAGAGGUGCAUGGAACUCACGGUGUAGGGGUGAAAUCCGUUGAUAUCGUGGGGAACACCAAAGGCGAAGGCAGUGCACUGGUACAUUCCUGACUCUGAGAUGCGAAAGCGUGGGGAGCAAAAAGGAUUAGAUACCCGCGUAGUCCCUGAGCGGGCUGGCAAGGCGCAU
rnacentral:rRNA from 1 species